UAAAGGGCCGUUGGAGACCACAACGUUGAUAGGUGGGGUGUGUAAGCGCAGUGAUGUGUUGAGCUAACCCAUACUAAUUACCCGUGAGGCUUAACCAUACAACACCCAAGAAGUGUUCU
rnacentral:rRNA from 1 species